CAUGAAUGGUCCGUGCCCAAAACAGUUCCAGAGAAUCAGGGCUUGCGUUUGGUAGUUUAAAAACCUAACGAACAUAGUCAAUGUUCUUACCCUGGAGAUUGUUUACCUUGUGCAUGGUAAUGUUUCCACCGAACAGUGCCCUUCUAAGUUGUGUAGAACCGAACACAUGUGAUGCUGGAAGUCCAGCGGUGUUUGGGAAUUUCUGUUUCCGAUUUCAGUUCCUUGGGAUUCAUUCCCAAACACCGCUGGCUGCGUUUGUGGGAACAAGAUGGCCGUCGCCUCAUGGUAGUUCAUGCAAACAGCGUUCACCCAGACGAACAAUUAGAACACUGCGGUGGAACGUGUUAUAAACUGUCAAUUAGGCUUAAUAAGCUCUGGUUCGUGCGGCUGCUCUCUUCCCAAACCACACGAACAGAGCCAAUUAAAGUGUGUUCGACAAGGUAUAUUGCAGCGGCAAUAGUUCGGAGGCUGGCAAGCAGGCUCCUCCAGGAGCCUGUGGCGAGGUUCUGUUCGUCACAGCACCUUUUUAUUUCCCGUGAACACCAGCGCUCUCAUUCUGACUGCGUGCUCUCACAUUUUACUCAGUCUUAUCCUCUUGUCACUUCCAUAUUCUUUUUAACCUCAUUCUAGCAUUUCCUUAAAGGGACACUUAAUACCAUGACCACUGCAUCUAAAAGGACUCACUGUAUUGGGUAAUAAGAAAUGGGAAUGUUUAGAUUUAACCCCUGCGAUGCUGUGGUCACUCAACAGGC